AACCCAGUGUGAUUCGUCACACUAUCAUUAACUGAAUCCAUAGGUUAAUGAGGCGAACCGGGGGAACUGAAACAUCUAAGUACCCCGAGGAAAAGAAAUCAACCGAGAUUCCCCCAGUAGCGGCGAGCGAACGGGGAGGAGCCCAGAGCCUGAAUCAGCAUGUGUGUUAGUGGAAGCGUCUGGAAAGGCGCGCGAUACAGGGUGAGAGCCCCGUACACAAAAGCGCACGUGCUGUGAGCUCGAUGAGUAGGGCGGGACACGUGGUAUCCUGUCUGAAUAUGGGGGGACCAUCCUCCAAGGCUAAAUACUCCUGACUGACCGAUAGUGAACCAGUACCGUGAGGGAAAGGCGAAAAGAACCCCGGCGAGGGGAGUGAAACAGAACCUGAAACCGU
rnacentral:rRNA from 1 species